UACGAAGGGGGCUAGCGUUGCUCGGAAUCACUGGGCGUAAAGCGCACGUAGGCGGAUUGUUAAGUCAGGGGUGAAAUCCUGGAGCUCAACUCCAGAACUGCCUUUGAUACUGGCGAUCUCGAGUCCGGAGAGGUGAGUGGAACUGCGAGUGUAGAGGUGAAAUUCGUAGAUAUUCGCAGGAACACCAGUGGCGAAGGCGGCUUACUGGUCCAUUACUGACGCUGAGGUG
rnacentral:rRNA from 1 species